rnacentral:rRNA from 1 species
UGAGGAACAUGACCUUCGGCGGGGGAUAGCCGGCCCAACGGCCGGGUAAUACCGCGUACGACCACAUGGGGACAUCCCUGAGUGGUGAAAGCAGCAAUGCGCCGAUGGAGUGCCUCGCGGCCUAUCAGCUAGUUGGUGAGGUAACGGCUCACCAAGGCAACGACGGGUAGCUGGUCUGAGAGGAUGGCCAGCCACAUUGGGACUGAGACACGGCCCAGACCUNUACGGGAG